UUUCCGUAGGUGAACCUGCGGAAGGAUCAUUCAUAAUAAAGUGUUUUAUGGCACUUUUUAAAAAUCCAUAUCCACCUUGUGUGCAAUGUUAGAUCUCGUCAAUCUUGGCGAGAUUUUUAUACAUCAACUCAUUUUUUAACUAAUUUGUCUGAAAAAUAUUAUGAAUACUUAAUUCAAGAUACAACUUUCAACAACGGAUCUCUUGGCUCUC
rnacentral:misc_RNA from 1 species